AUUGAACGCUGGCGGCAGGCUUAACACAUGCAAGUCGAGCGGGGUGAUGGUGCUUGCACUAUCACUUAGCGGCGGACGGGUGAGUAAUGCUUAGGAAUCUGCCUAUUAGUGGGGGACAACAUCUCGAAAGGGAUGCUAAUACCGCACACGUCCUACGGGAGAAAGCAGGGGAUCACUUGUGACCUUGCGCUAAUAGAUGAGCCUAAGUGGGAUUAGCUAGUUGGUGGGGUAAAGGCCUACCAAGGCGACGAUCUGUAGCGGGUCUGAGAGGAUGAUCCGCCACACUGGGACUGAGACACGGCCCAGACUCCUACGGGAGGCAGCAGUGGGGAAUAUUGGACAAUGGGGGGAACCCUGAUCCAGCCAUGCCGCGUGUGUGAAGAAGGCCUUAUGGUUGUAAAGCACUUUAAGCGAGGAGGAGGCUCUUUUGGUUAAUACCCAAGAUGAGUGGACGUUACUCGCAGAAUAAGCACCGGCUAACUCUGUGCCAGCAGCCGCCGCAG
rnacentral:rRNA from 1 species